rnacentral:rRNA from 1 species
GUACACUCCUGCGGGAGGCAGCAGUGGGGAAUUUUGGACAAUGGGCGAAAGCCUGAUCCAGCAAUGCCGCGUGAGUGAAGAAGGCCUUCGGGUUGUAAAGCUCUUUUGUCAGGGAAGAAACGGUGAAAGCUAAUAUCUUUUGCUAAUGACGGUACCUGAAGAAUAAGCACCGGCUAACUACGUGCCAGCAGCCGCGGUAAUACGUAGGGUGCAAGCGUUAAUCGGAAUUACUGGGCGUAAAGCGUGCGCAGGCGGUUUUGUAAGUCUGAUGUGAAAUCCCCGGGCUCAACCUGGGAAUUGCAUUGGAGACUGCAAGGCUAGAAUCUGGCAGAGGGGGGUAGAAUUCCACGUGUAGCAGUGAAAUGCGUAGAUAUGUGGAGGAACACCGAUGGCGAAGGCAGCCCCCUGGGUCAAGAUUGACGCUCAUGCACGAAAGCGUGGGGAGCAAACAGGAUUAGAUACCCGAGUAGUCCCAUGAU